UACGUAGGGUGCAAGCGUUAAUCGGAAUUACUGGGCGUAAAGCGUGCGCAGGCGGUUAUUCCAGACAGAUGUUAAAUCCCCGGGCUCAACCUGGGAACUGCAUUUGUGACUGCAUAGCUAGAGUACGGUAGAGGGGGAUGGAAUUCCGCGUGUAGCAGUGAAAUGCGUAGAUAUGCGGAGGAACACCGAUGGCGAAGGCAAUCCCCUGGACCUGUACUGACGCUCAUGCACGAAAGCGUGGGGAGCAAACAGG
rnacentral:rRNA from 1 species